AUUGAACGCUGGCGGCAGGCCUAACACAUGCAAGUCGGACGGUAGCACAGAGGAGCUUGCUCCUCGGGUGACGAGUGGCGGACGGGUGAGUAAUGUCUGGGGAUCUGCCCGAUAGAGGGGGAUAACCACUGGAAACGGUGGCUAAUACCGCAUAAUGUCGCAAGACCAAAGAGGGGGACCUUCGGGCCUCUCACUAUCGGAUGAACCCAGAUGGGAUUAGCUAGUAGGCGGGGUAACGGCCCACCUAGGCGACGAUCCCUAGCUGGUCUGAGAGGAGGACCAGCCACACUGGAACUGAGACACGGUCCAGACUCCUACGGGAGGCAGCAGUGGGGAAUAUUGCACAAUGGGCGCAAGCCUGAUGCAGCCAUGCCGCGUGUAUGAAGAAGGCCUUCGGGUUGUAAAGUACUUUCAGCGGGGAGGAAGGCGAUGUGGUUAAUAACCGCGUCGAUUGACGUUACCCGCAGAAGAAGCACCGGCUAACUCCGUGCCAGCAGCCGCCGUAA
rnacentral:rRNA from 1 species